rnacentral:siRNA from 1 species
UUCCGUCAACCAAACAAUCACGGA